UACAGAGUGGGAUCAUUGUUCUAUGCAAUUUACUUUAUAGUUAGCUUCCCCAUGUUCAUAAGGUGAUGUUAAAAGCAGGAAAAUAUGAGCUUGUUCACAAGUUUUUUGGAAAAAUGAGAAAAAGAGGACUUGCUCCAAAUUCUCACACAUAUAAAGUUCUUGUGACUGCCUGUUGGAGAGAAGGUAAGAUAGACGAUGCUGUUGAAGCAGUUUUGGAUAUGGAACGGAGGGGAGUAGUUGGGUCGGCUAGUGUGGGAAUCCUCAGAUGAUGAUUUCAAGGAACAAAGUAAUGCAAUGUAAGCAUCUCAAAAAUCAUGUUAUUGUCAUUGUCUCAAUCAUAUCUUU